AGACACGGYCCAAACUCCUACGGGAGGCAGCAGUAGGGAAUCUUCCACAAUGGACGCAAGUCUGAUGGAGCAACGCCGCGUGAGUGAAGAAGGUUUUCGGAUCGUAAAGCUCUGUUGUUGGUGAAGAAGGAUAGAGGUAGUAACUGGCCUUUAUUUGACGGUAAUCAACCAGAAAGUCACGGCUAACUACGUGCCAGCAGCCGCGGUAAUACGUAGGUGGCAAGCGUUGUCCGGAUUUAUUGGGCGUAAAGCGAGCGCAGGCGGAAGAAUAAGUCUGAUGUGAAAGCCCUCGGCUUAACCGAGGAACUGCAUCGGAAACUGUUUUUCUUGAGUGCAGAAGAGGAGAGUGGAACUCCAUGUGUAGCGGUGGAAUGCGUAGAUAUAUGGAAGAACACCAGUGGCGAAGGCGACUCUCUGGUCUGCAACUGACGCUGAGGCUCGAAAGCAUGGGUAGCGAACAGGAUUAGAUACCCUGGUAGUCCAUGCCGUAAACGAUGAGUGCUAAGUGUUGGGAGGUUUCCGCCUCUCAGUGCUGCAGCUAACGCAUUAAGCACUCCGCCUGGGGAGUACGACCGCAAGGUUGAAACUCAAAGGAAUUGACGGGGGCCCGCACAAGCGGUGGAGCAUGUGGUUUAACUCGAAGCAACGCGAAGAACCUUACCAGGUCUUGACAUCUAGUGCCAUCCUAAGAGAUUAGGAGUUCCCUUCGGGACGCUAAGACAGGUGGUGCAUGGCUGUCGUCAGCUCGUGUCGUGARAUGUUGGGUUAAGUCCCGCAACGAGCGCAACCCUUGUAUAGUUG
rnacentral:rRNA from 1 species